GCAAACUUGGUCAUUUAGAGGAAGUAAAAGUCGUAACAAGGUUUCCGUAGGUGAACCUGCGGAAGGAUCAUUAGUGAACGCCCUCACGGGCUUAUAACUAUUCCAAACCUCUGUGAACCGUGCCCUUCGGGGCUAUUUUACAAACAUGGUGUAAUGAACGUCAUAUAUCAUAACAAAACAAAACUUUCAACAACGGAUCUCUUGGCUCUCAGAUGUGUAUAAGAGACAGGCAAACUUGGUCAUUUAGAGGAAGUAAAAGUCGUAACAAGGUUUCCGUAGGUGAACCUGCGGAAGGAUCAUUAGUGAACGCCCUCACGGGCUUAUAACUAUUCCAAACCUCUGUGAACCGUGCCCUUCGGGGCUAUUUUACAAACAUGGUGUAAUGAACGUCAUAUAUCAUAACAAAACAAAACUUUCAACAACGGAUCUCUUGGCUCUCGCAUCGAUGAAGAACGCAGC
rnacentral:misc_RNA from 1 species